UACGUAGGUGGCAAGCAUUAUCCGGAUUUACUGGGCGUAAAGGGUGCGUAGGCGGAUUUUUAAGUGAGAUGUGAAAUACCCGGGCUCAACCUGGGGGCUGCAUUUCAAACUGGAAAUCUAGAGUGCAGGAGAGGAAAGUGGAAUUCCUAGUGUAGCGGUGAAAUGCGUAGAGAUUAGGAAGAACACCAGUGGCGGAGGCGACUUUCUGGACUGUAACUGACGCUGAGGCACGAAAGCGUGGGGAGCAAACAGG
rnacentral:rRNA from 1 species